rnacentral:lncRNA from 1 species
UAGGAAUCCAAAAAUCACAACAAUAACAACAAUAACUUGGGAUUCUAACUCAAUGUGAGUCAGCAAUAAGGCAAGCAAAAGAGCUAAUUCUGUCUUUAGUUCAGUUCAUUUAAUUUCAAUUUGAUUCUUUUCAGCUGUACUCAUCUCUUAAUAUGUACAGAAUCCUACUCUGGGAACCGGAGAAAACUGAAAGUUUAAAUAGAAGACCAUGGAACUCAAAAUCCAGUAAGUUCAUAGGAGGGCUUUGUUCAAGCAACAGAAAUUCCAUGCAAAAGGUGUGUGUCUUACACAGCUAUUACAGUCUAGGGAGAAGAAGGGAUCCAGAAAAUGGAUGGAGACUAAGUAUCCUUGCCCCAAUUCUUCACAUCAUACUGCUGUCUCAAUCACCAUCACAAUCAAUCAAUGUCCCAUUAUUGCCAGCAUGGACACCAUCACUAUUACCAGUAUUACGGCUUCCCAUCAGUGACGAUGCCGUCAGCAUGGUCAUGAUCAUCUCCAGAAGGAUUACCUUUGCUCUCGCCACCAGCAAUGUUGAGUUCACUGUGACUGCUGCUGCUUCUCCAUCCCCAUCUGGAUUAUCAUCCUAGUUUCCUAUGGGUAUCAUAAAGGGAUAACUAAAGAAAUCAACCCCAUUCAUGAGACCACUGAGUGAAAGUGUAAAGAAGAUGGCCCAGGGGAUGUCCUAGGGGAUACCUGCAGUUAAUGACCAAGUCAAGGAUGAAGAUACAGCAAAAGAACAGUUAGAAAUGUAGGAAGAGCAAGAGAAAGAUCCGUGCCAUGAAAAUCUAGAUGGGAGAGAAUACUGAGAGGGGAAAAGCUCCAUCCAAGUCAAUGAGGAUGAGAAUGACCAAUUAAAGUUCAAGUCUCACUUUCAAAAAAACUUUAAUCAGUCCAGUUGGAAGUGGUCCUUUCUCAUAUCACUCUGACCUUCUCUAUGCAUUUGCCACAUUCUACUCUACACUUAUCCAUGCAAUCUGGUCCUUCUGCAAGAUUAUAAGCAACUUGAGGGCAUUUUUCAUCUUGAUAUUCCUGACUUAGAGCACAGUGGCCAAAGAAAGUACAUGCUAAUCUUUGAUCCAG